GCAUAGGAGAUCUCGUCGAGGAAUAUCACAAAUCAGGUGAGCCUUGAUGUGGGGACUUGGGCCGGAGGGGAUUCAGAGUGGCCACGGUGAUCGCUUUUGGACCUUUAAAUAAGCAUUGGUUUUCAUUUAAUUUCCUUUAAUUAUUAUUUAUUUUUGGGUUGUAAUAAGGCCAUUUUUAACUUUUCUUUUAUUUCUUCUCGAGAUUAUUUUAUUCUUAAUAACUUUAAAA